ensembl:lncRNA
CUCUGUUGUGUGCUCUUUGGCCCCUCUUGAAUGGAAUGGCUUGUCAUCUGAUUUAUCUUAUAGCCUAGCAGCUUGGCUAGCUCAUCCUUCUAAAUAAAUUGCAUGUGCAUUUCAUUUGUCACAAGUUACCCCAAAAUCACAGUUCCUCCUCAGCUUCGGCAAAUAUGUGACUGCUAAGACCUACCUUGUUGGGGGUUGCAUUGUCUUGCUCCCUUUUGAACCAGGCUGGGUGGUAGUAGCCUCUGUAAAUCCACGGAUUACGCUUCUCAGACAGAUACCUGGAAUAGCACAUUCCACAAAUUAAGAUGCAGAUUUUUAGAAGCUUUGUUUAUUUAUUUUCUUUAACCAGAAUGUGGGACCCCUGUUGAUUGUAACAUUAAGCCACAUAGGCUACAAACAAAAUGAGGAUUAAAAAUACCUUAGAGCUUCGUUUCUUCCCUGCACUUGCUCCUCAUACUCCUCUGAAUCCCCUCCCUGCUCUGCAUCUUCCUCCAAUGAGCCUCCACCGUGACUGUGAUAUUUGUUGCCGUGAUGGUACUCGUCUUUUCCGUUCCUCUUGUCCAAGCUCCACGACUCUUGGCUGCGUUCGUUGUCUGGUUCUUCGUUGGUGACUUCUUCAUCACGUCUGUGUCUCCGCUGAUGGUACCUGCCGGGCCUCCAGUUUCUCUUGUCAUAGCCAGUGUCAAAGUCCCAGUAUUCUUGGCUGCGUUCAUAGUCAGAAUCAUCUGAAAACUCUUCAUCACGUUUGUGUCUCCUCUGGUGGUACCUGCCAGGCCUCCAUCCUCUCUUGUCUCUACCAUUAUCAAAGUCCCAUGACUCUUGGCUGCGUUCCUCAUUAUUCUCUUCUCUGGGUUCCUCUGGAAGUUCUUCAUCACGUUUGUGUCUCCUCUGGUGGUACCUGCCAGGCCUCCAUCCUCUCUUGUCUCUACCAUUAUCAAAGUCCCAUGACUCUUGGCUGCGUUCCUCAUUAUUCUCUUCUCUGGGUUCCUCUGGAAGUUCUUCAUCACGCCUGUGUCUGGUCUGGUGGUAUCUGCCAGGCCUCCAUUUCCUCUUCUCUCUCUCACCUUCCUCCUCUUCUUCAGAUCUCUUUUCAUCCAAAUCCCAGCUCUCCUGACUGCGCUCGUUGUCUUCCUCUUCCUCUCCUCGUUUGUUCUUGCGUGAGGAGUACUUGGGUCUCCAGCUUGUGCUUCGUUUCUGCCGGGGUUCUUCCUCUCCAUUUUCAUGACCCUUGUCAUCACCCAGACUCCAGGAUUCUUGGCUGCGCUCAUCUUCUGGGGUCUCUCUUUUUCCCUCCACAGACUUCAGCAGAGCUUCAAUGUCUUUCACAUCUGCUCCAUUAGCCUCGGGCGUCUCAGGCUGACCAUUUACCACCUCUCCAUGUGUCACCGUCCUCGCACUCUUCUUGUCCAAUGGGGCAUGUUUAACCCCUGAGACAGCAAAGAUAAAAAGAUAAGACUCAAAGUUGCUCCUGGACAACGUGACAAUUGAUUCCUUAACAGCCUCCAGGCCCCUCCUCAUAUUGCAUUCAAUUAUUUGGUCAAUAACUUGCUUGAUAUUUAGGGGUUACCAAAGGCUAUAUGGAAGAUUGGAUGGCACUGGAAAACUCAGAGGAAUUGUGGGAAAGCAUCAGAUCACAGCCAACAGUUUCCGUCACAUUUGUGCAAUAAACAAGUGGCAGUCUCUGCAAGUGCAGGUAGCCAGAACGACUAUGUUCUCCUGCGUAAGACAAUCACACCUUGCAGGAGUGAUGCACACAUUUAACUCAUUAGUUCUUGCUUUUCUUCUUCUUUUUAGAGUUUAAUUUGAGGGAGGAAUAACUGUUAAAACUAGGUUCAGACUUCUUGUUUGGGGAUUUAUCAUUUCACUUGUAGAGGGUGACAACAUUUGUCACAGAGCAAGUAACAGCAUAUUCAAUGCUGCUUUUUUAACUUAAACAUCUCUGCAAAUUGGGGAGAAAUCGACUCCAAACCUGCUAGGAGGAUGUCUUUGCAUUCUGGAUCAAGCUGAGAAUCUGGUUUAGAGAGAGCUUUGGACAGGACGUCCACCAAACAUCUGGUUACCUGCAGCAAAAAAAAGUCAAGCAUUUACAAAAUUCACCCACAUCAAGGUGAAAUUGUGAGAUAAAAACAUACCACAUCUUCUCUCUGCCCUUCUUUUCCAAUUGGAAGCGCUAGAUUUUCUGCAAUAGAGAGAAAAGUGUUGAAUGGGAUGGAGCACGACCGCAGGUGGCGACCGCGUCGUUGUCCAAGGUGCUGGAAAUCCUCAACUUAUAAGACACAAAUACACGCAGCGCUCUUUUACGCACCUGUCAGCAGAGCCGCGACGACCACGACGACGAGGAAACGUCUCAUCUCAGCGAGGUGGAAGUCUGAUCCGGCGGAAAAUGCGCGUGGAUGCUGCUGCGCCACUCUCGUCCUCUCCGAACAGUCGGGAGAGAGCUGCGCUGCGCUCUGACGGCUGGAGCUGAGGCGCCCCUCAAAUAAGGAGAGGAGAGGGCAGGGAGAGCGUGGGAGGAGGGCUCUGGGCUCUAUUAAUGUCACGACUCGUUAGACCUGCAGAGGAAAGUGAUGUGAGGAAGAUCUGAUGGAUGCUCUGAGUCGACAUUUGGCUAACAAAUUAGUAAUUGAUCACGUAAACAGAUCAAGAAGAUUGCAGAAGAGGAGCUCCAUGACGGGUUUAAUGCCAUGAGGUGCUCGAGG